rfam:Gossypium hirsutum cultivar TM-1 chromosome 23, whole genome shotgun sequence
AAUAGGAGUAUGAAAAAUCAGAUUUUUCUCCUGAUUUUCAACUUUUUCCUCCAGAAAAAAUUCAAAUCCAACUAAAAAUGCUAAAAAUCAGAAGGAAAAAUUUGAUUUGUCAUGCUCUUAUU